rnacentral:lncRNA from 1 species
AGAACAGCACGUAGCAGGCCCCCGUGGAGGAUUAACACAGUGGCUGAACACCGGGAAGGAACUGGCACUUGGAGUCCGGACAUCUGAAACUUGGUCUAGAGAACACACGCAAUUUUGUUACAUGGGAAUAUUGUGUUGUGCUGAGGUCUGGAGUAUGGAUCCCUUCACCCAGAGUUGACAAGCCGACAUCAGUCUCCAGAGUGAAUCCAAGGAGUGGACCCAAGACAUUUGUGUUCUGUGAUGUGGUGGCAUGUUACCUGUCAUCUCUGAUGCAUAACUCCUAAAGUGUUUGCGUCUGGGGCAGUUGUACAGAUUGCAAAGGAUAAUACUCAAGAUGUCCUCCAAGGCCAACUACUCAUCAGUUUAUUCAUGUUUCUGGGACUGGAUUCAUGAAUUCAUCCUUUCAACUAUUUCAACAAGCUUUUUCAUGUAACUAAUCUGUGGAAGGUAGAAAGGGGAAAACUGUUGGGUGCUAAAAUGACAACUGGUUCAAGGUACAAUGGCGAAUAUUUUUAUUUCUGCAACUUUUCUUAGAGGUUGGAAACUAGACUGGGCAGGAAGAUUCCUUUUUGUAAGAUUAGUCUCCAGUUUUCAUCAAGCAGUUUAGUGGGGUAUUUUAGGCCCAGUUCCCUCUCCACAGUCCCCAAAGGUCUUCUGUUAACUUUAAAUCAGCAAAGAGAGAGAUCUCUGCCAAGUAGCAACUGCAAGAGCAUGUGGGUCAAAGUUACCAGCAGACACUCAAAGCCCAUUCCCUUUACUUCAACACCGCUUUAUAAAUUAUUUUAGAGACGUUGUCAGGUUGGUAUCAGAGGUGAGUGGUCAUGACUUCAUGAUUUCUCAUCUUUCUGAAUGCAUAGUGGCUGGGAGUGGUGGCUCAUGCCUGUAAUCCCAGCACUUUGGGAGGCCGAGGUGGGCAGACU